rnacentral:rRNA from 1 species
CCUACGGGAGGCAGCAGUAAGGAAUAUUGGUCAAUGGACGGAAGUCUGAACCAGCCAUGCCGCGUGGAGGAUGAAUGCCCUCUGGGUUGUAAACUUCUUUUAUUUGGGACGAAACACUUCUUUUCUAAGAAGCUUGACGGUACCAGAUGAAUAAGCACCGGCUAACUCCGUGCCAGCAGCCGCGGUAAUACGGAGGGUGCAAGCGUUAUCCGGAUUCACUGGGUUUAAAGGGUGCGUAGGCGGACAUGUAAGUCUGUGGUGAAAUCUCCGAGCUUAACUCGGAAACUGCCGUGGAUACUAUAUGUCUUGAAUGUUGUGGAGGUUAGCGGAAUAUGUCAUGUAGCGGUGAAAUGCUUAGAUAUGACAUAGAACACCGAUUGCGAAGGCAGCUGGCUACACAACUAUUGACGCUGAGGCACGAAAGCGUGGGGAUCAAACAGGAUUAGAUACCCUGGUAGUCCACGCCCUAAACGAUGAUUACUCGACAUUUGCGAUAUACAGUAAGUGUCUGAGCGAAAGCAUUAAGUAAUCCACCUGGGAAGUACGACCGCAAGGUUGAAACUCAAAUGAAUUGAAUUGACGGAAACUCAAAUGAAUU